UAACGGUCAGCCCCCCACCCCACGGCAGAUCCGAGGCGGGGCCGGAUGCGGGAGCAGCGUUGCGGGAACUCGACGAAACGCGAGGUGUUUUCGAGGACCUGCUUUUGCUUUUCUACAGGAUGUUGGGAUUUUUGAAGCACCCCGUCGUGGUGACGGCUGACAUCAACUUGAACGUUGUGGCUCUGACUGCAAUGGGGUUACUGAGCCGCCUGUGGCAGCUCUCCUAUCCAAGGGCUGUGGUUUUCGAUGAAGUGUAUUAUGGGCAGUACAUCUCUUUUUACAUGAAGCGGAUCUUCUUUUUGGAUGGCAGUGGACCACCAUUUGGCCACAUGCUGCUGGCACUGGGAGGUUAUUUAGGAGGAUUCGAUGGUAACUUCUUGUGGAACAGAAUCGGAGCAGAAUACAGCAGCAACGUGCCCGUGUGGUCUCUGCGCCUGCUGCCCGCCCUCACGGGGGCCCUGUCGGUCCCCAUGGCCUACCAGAUCCUGUCGGAGCUUGGUUUUUCUCACUGUGCCGCCAUGGGGGCCGCCCUGCUGAUGCUCAUCGAGAACGCUCUCAUCACUCAGUCAAGGCUAAUGCUUUUGGAGUCCGUGUUAAUAUUCUUUAAUCUGUUGGCUGUGCUGUCCUACCUGAAGUUCUCCAACUCCCAAAAACAGAGGCCCUUCUCUCCGAGCUGGUGGUUUUGGCUGACGCUGACCGGAGUGGCCUGCUCCUGUGCCGUGGGCGUCAAAUACGUGGGUGUUUUCACGUACCUGCUCGUGCUUGCUGUCGCUGGCGUCCACGCCUGGCACCUGAUAGGAGACCGGAGUCUGUCAAACGUCUCUGUGCUCUGUCACCUGCUGGCCCGCGCGGCAGCUCUGUUGGUCGUCCCGGCCGCCAUGUACUUGCUGUUCUUUUACGUCCACCUGAGUCUGGUCUAUCGCUCUGGGCCCCACGAUCAAAUCAUGUCCAGUGCCUUCCAGGCCAGCUUGGAGGGAGGGCUGGCUCGGAUCACGCAGGGCCAGCCCCUGGAGGUGGCCUACGGUUCCCAGGUCACUCUGAAGAACGUUUUGGGCAAACCCGUGCCCUGCUGGCUUCAUUCCCACCAGAGCACCUACCCCAUGAUAUACGAGAACGGCCGAGGCAGCUCGCACCAGCAGCAGGUGACCUGUUACCCCUUCAAAGACGUCAACAACUGGUGGAUCGUAAAGGACCCUGGGAGGCACCAGCUGGUGGUGAGCAACCCUCCGAGGCCCGUGCGGCAUGGAGACGUGGUGCAGCUGGUGCACGGCAUGACCACGCGCUUCCUCAACACGCACGACGUCGCGGCACCCCUGAGCCCCCACUCGCAGGAGGUAUCCUGCUACGUCGACUACAACAUCUCCAUGCCUUCUCAGAACCUCUGGAGACUGGACAUCGUAAACAGAGACUCCGACGCGGGGGUUUGGAAGACCAUCUUGUCCGAGGUCCGCCUGGUGCACGUGAACACCUCCGCGGUCCUGAAGCUGAGCGGGGCACACCUCCCGGACUGGGGUUUCCGGCAGCUGGAGGUCGUCGGGGAGAAGCUGUCGCGGGGCUACCACGAGAGCACCGUGUGGAACGUGGAGGAGCACCGCUACGGCAAAAGCCAGGAGCAGAAGGAGAGAGAAGUGGAAUUGCACUCGCCCACGCAGAUGGACGUUCACAGGAACCUGAGCUUCCUGGCCAGGUUCCUGGAGCUGCAGUGGAGAAUGCUGACGGCCAAGAGCGACGGCUCGGAGCACAAGUACAGCUCGUCGCCACUGGACUGGGUCACACUGGACACCAGCAUCGCGUACUGGCUGCACCCCAGGACCAGCGCUCAGAUCCACCUGCUUGGGAACGUCGUGAUCUGGGCUUCGGCCAGCCUCGCCACCGUGGCCUACACUCUGCUCCUCUUCUGGUACCUGCUUAGACGCCGAAGAAAGAUCUGUGACCUCCCUGAGGAGACAAAAAUGUCGCGGUUGACUUCCCCAGUUGUGCCAGAGGCUUCUCCGGGGAAGUAUUCCUGGCUGCGCUGGGUGCUGGCGGGGGCUCUGUGUGCCGGCGGCUGGGCGGUGAACUACGUCCCCUUCUUCCUGAUGGAGAAGACGCUCUUCCUGUACCACUACCUGCCGGCGCUCACCUUCCAGAUCCUUCUGCUCCCCGUGGUCUUGCAGCACAUCAGCGACCACCUGUGCAGGACCCAGCUCCUGAGGAGCCUCUUCGGCGCCCUGCUUGUGGCGUGGUACUCCUGUGCCUGUCACGUGUUCAACACGCUGCGCCCGCUCACCUACGGGGACAAGUCACUCUCCCCCAGCGAACUGAAGGCCCUUCGCUGGAAGGACAGCUGGGACAUUUUGAUUCGCAAAUACUAGCAGGACACAAACACGGUGAAGGCGUUAAAGAACGCGGCCUUCUGGGUCCACUAACGCCCAAGAACCUCCCGAACCAGGCUAGUGUGGGACUCAUGCUGGAGGAGAAACAGGAAGGGAGCGAGGGUCGCGCCAGCCAAGGCCCCGGUCGCUCUCCCGAGCGCCCGCUGGACCUGCCCCUGGUGAGGUCUUGAGGAUGCGCUCCGAACACGGUGGUGUCACACAAGCCACCGAGUGAUAAGCCUUUGAAGAAGCAGAGGUGGGAUUCUGGCCACUGCAGUGAGGACCCUCACUGCCGCCGACUCUCAACCCCCCGCCCCUGCGGGGUUCGGCUGAGAAGGGGAGAAAAUAACCUGGACAAGACUGUCACACACACCUCAGAGAGCAGCCACGGAGCUCGGCCAAGCCCAACUGAGGUCCCAUCCGUGUCACUACACACAGUACUCGCUAGGAGGAAACCAGAAGUGCCCGUGCGGUUUAGCCGGUGGCAACGGCAAAGCGUCGCUUUUACAGGAACGGGGCCACUGGGGAGGGGAAGACAAAGCAGGACAACGUGGAGCCCGGGCAUCGUCUGUGCGGCCGCGGACUCUAGGUGCGUGCAGGGAGACGGGCUGCCUUUGGACGGUGUGCCCCGACUCGGGAAGGCCUGUCCGCAGAGCACGCGGGGCCCAGGUGGCUCCUGCAAGCGGGGAGGCCUGACCCCGAGUAGGACCGUGUGUGGACACGGCGGGCGCCAGCCUGCCUCCUGUCCCAACCCGCAGGGCCGGGGCCGGGGCUCGGGCCGGGGGAGCGGGGCCCGUCCCCUGCGGCCGAGGCUGGCUAACGAAAGCUUGUUCCCAGGGCUCCUUCCUCGACUCUGCCCUUGGCGCACGGGCCAGGAGGAAG